AAUAGCCGUAUAGUUGAAGAAAUAUAUGAGAAAGCAAUCCCGUGCGCCGUUGAUGACAGAAACUUAUGGGAAAGCAAUCCCGCGCGCGGCUCACGACAGAAAUUUAUGAGAAAGCAAUCCAUGCGCGAUUUGGAUGCGCAGUUGCAUUUUUUUGGACUCGCAUAUGUAACCGCGUAUAAAGAAGUAUACGUGACGUAUCUGAGCGUGAGAACAACAAACAAUCAACGUGUUAUGUUGAUAACAAAAAGCUUGUAGAGUAUACAUGGUUUGGAGUUAACAGCUUAUUAAGGAAGAAUAAAAGAUUUUCAAGAGUACAUAGCUUACAUGGCUUGGAGCCAAUAACUUUAAUAAGGGAGAGAGAAAAGAGCACCUGGCAAAUAACAUGCAACUUCAUUUUACUUUCUACAACAUUCCACCUGUUGAUUUCCAAUUAUUCGGUGCAAGUCAACGUUCAUUUUAGCAAAAACAGCUAAAAUUUGGAUUGAAGAAUAACGGUACUCUCUAUGUCCUACAAAAUACAAAAUUGUAAGGUUUUCUGUCUUUGAAUAAAGCUAAUGACUAUAAUAUUAAUGAAGUGUGAUAUUUAACAUCCUAAGUAAUUAUAACUGAUUAUUGCAGUUUAGUGAAAUUUGUUAUUAUGACUGAUCAUAGUAUUACUGAACUUUGAUAAAAUUACUGUAAUAAUUGUCACAAUGUAACAAUAAAAUAAAUAAUUUCAAUUUUU
rnacentral:lncRNA from 1 species